rnacentral:tRNA from 1 species
AAGAAAUUAGCUCAAUUCCUGGAGCGACCGUUUUACACACGGAAGGUUGGGUGUUCGAGUCACCUAUUUCUUU